AAGGCAACGCCUGCCCAGUGAACAUUAAACGGCCGCGGUACCCUAACCGUGCAAAGGUAGCGUAAUCAUUUGUCUAUUAAUUGUAGACCCGUAUGAAAGGCAAAAUGAGAGUCUAACUGUCUCUUGUAAUAGAUCAAUUAAACUGAUCUCCUAGUACAAAAGCUAGGAUACUAACAUAAGACCAGAAGACCCUGUGAAGCUUUAACUAACCCAUUAAACCAAAUAAUGACUACUUUCGGUUGGGGCGACCUUGGAAAAAAAGAAAACUUCCAAACAACAUGAUUAUACUCAUACCCAUUAGGCCAACAAGCCACUAUAAGACCCAGUAUAGCUGACAAAUGAACCAAGUUACUCCAGGGAUAACAGCGCUAUCUUCUUCAAGAGUCCAUAUCAAAAAGAAGGUUUACGACCUCGAUGUUGGAUCAGGACAUCCUGGUGGUGCAGCCGCUACCAAGGGUUCGUUUGUUCAA
rnacentral:rRNA from 1 species